rnacentral:piRNA from 1 species
UGUUUUACAGGGCCUAUUAGUUGUUGAU